CCUCGGGCGCAGCAGUCGGGAAUAUUGCGCAAUGGAGGAAACUCUGACGCAGUGACGCCGCGUAUAGGAAGAAGGUCUUCGGAUUGUAAACUAUUGUCGUUAGGGAAGAGAAAGGACAGUACCUAAGGAGGAAGCUCCGGCUAACUACGUGCCAGCAGCCGCGGUAAUACGUAGGGAGCGAGCGUUAUCCGGAUUUAUUGGGUGUAAAGGGUGCGUAGACGGGAAAAUAAGUUAGUUGUGAAAUCCCUCGGCUCAACUGAGGAACUGCAACUAAAACUAUUUUUCUUGAGUGCAGGAGAGGAAAG
rnacentral:rRNA from 1 species